AGUGAGGGGAAUGAUUACAAAAAGUAUUUACAAUAUUUUAGGGAAAAACUUCAGGAUUCCAAAGAAGAAAUUACACUGAGAAAAGUCCCUUUCAUUUUUCUAGUGAGCUGAUAAAAGAGUUCUGAAAUGUGAGAGAGCCCUGGGAUUCAUUUGCAUGUGUUGUUUUGCCUAAAGUGCUGGAACUAAUGCCAGGGAGCAACCGCCUGAGUCAGAGAGUACCAGGGGACCACCAUGGAACAGGGACACACUGGAACCAGCCUCUGCUGAGAUGAAGGACUAGAGGAAAUAAAUACAGAAGCUGAACUGGAGUCUCAUCUGAGAACUACUGCAUUCUUGUUUUCCGCCUUACUCAUCGGAACUCCAGCUUUCUGAUCUUGAGACUGCAUUGCUCCCCUCCAUGAGUGAGUACUUGGCUCUCGGCCUUGAAAUACGAGUUACACUAUCAGUCUUCUUGGUUGUGAGGGCCUGAGUUGGGAUUUUCCAUCUUGUGGUCUCUAGCCUACGGGAGACCUGUCAUGGGACUUCUCAGUGGCCAAUAUCCCUAAUAAAUUUCCUCCUACACAUCUAUCUGCAGUUUCCAUUUGCAAUAUUGUUCUAGGUAACCCUGAAUAUUACAAGUAAAAUUAAAAGACACAGAUGACUAAAGUUUAUUGGUCAUGGUCAGA